UACGGGGGGGGCAAGCGUUGUUCGGAAUUACUGGGCGUAAAGGGCUCGUAGGCGGCCAACUAAGUCAGACGUGAAAUCCCUCGGCUUAACCGGGGAACUGCAUCUGAUACUGGAUGGCUAGAGUACGGAAGAGGCAAGUGGAAUUCCUGGUGUAGCGGUGGAAUGCGCAGAUAUCAGGAGGAACACCCAUAGCGAAGGCAGCUUGCUGGGACGUUACUGACGCUAAGGCGCGAAAGCGUGGGGAGCAAACAGG
rnacentral:rRNA from 1 species